rnacentral:rRNA from 1 species
AACGAACGCUGGCGGCAGGCCUAACACAUGCAAGUCGAGCGAGGACUUCGGUCCUAGCGGCGGACGGGUGAGUAACGCGUGGGAACGUGCCCUUUGCUUCGGAAUAGCCCUGGGAAACUGGGAGUAAUACCGGAUGAGCCCUUUGGGGGAAAGAUUUAUCGGCGAAGGAUCGGCCCGCGUUGGAUUAGGUAGUUGGUGGGGUAAUGGCCUACCAAGCCGACGAUCCAUAGCUGGUUUGAGAGGAUGAUCAGCCACACUGGGACUGAGACACGGCCCAGACUCCUACGGGAGGCAGCAGUGGGGAAUAUUAGACAAUGGGGGAAAACCUGAUCUAGCCAUGCCGCGUGAGCGAUGAAGGCCUUAGGGUUGUAAAGCUCUUUCAGCUGGGAAGAUAAUGACGGUACCAGCAGAAGAAGCCCCGGCUAACUACGUG